UACCCGCGGUCCAAGUCGCAGCCACAAUUAUUGGGUCUAAAACAUCCGUAGCUUGUUUUGCAAGUUCCGUGUGAAAUCUCACAUCUCAAGUGUGAGGCAGGCAUGGAAGACUGCAUUGCUCGAGACUGGGAGACGUGUAGAGUAUGGUAAGGGUAACGGUAAAAUGUUUUAAUCUUUAUCAGACUAACAACAGCGAAGGCACUACACGAGAACAGUUCUGACAGUGAGGAUGAAGGCUCGGGGCGCAAAAGGGAUUAGAAACCCGUGUAGU
rnacentral:rRNA from 1 species